GCAUUGAGCUGCUCUUACGUGGUAUUUUUAAUAUUUUGCUUCGAGGUACAGUUCUAUCGAAAGAAAAGUGACCGUUUUAUAUUAAUUAAUUGCUACAAGAUCUUUGUAGUACAACCUCAGGGAGGUUCUAGGGAAGCUAGAGAGUGAGAAUAUCGAUGCUUAUGGCCUUGUAGAGUGAGAGGACAGUGACUGAGAUCAUAGCUAGGUAGGAAGCUUCCUUUCAGAGGUCAAACUAAAAAGAAAGAGCCUGAGAAUCCUGAGGAAGACGCACUUGAGGUGGACUAUCUUCCUGAACCUGGUGAAGAAAAUAUUUCCCGGGAAAAAGGCGUCUGCUGAUAGAACCUCAAAUACAAGUUUCUGCAGAUCAUGAUUGAGUCCUGAGUGAGCCAUGUCACCGUGAGAGCAUUCUGAACACUUAUAUCAUGUGUUCAUUCACUUCGUAACAUCAUACAAUAUUGUUUGUGUACAUAAUUGUGAAUUUUUGUUAACAA